AACGAACGCUGGCUCCAGGCUUAACACAUGCAAGUCGAGCGGGCGUAGCAAUACGUCAGCGGCAGACGGGUGCGUAACGCGUGGGAACGUACCUUUUGGUUCGGAACAACACAGGGAAACUUGUGCUAAUACCGGAUAAGCCCUUACGGGGAAAGAUUUAUCGCCGAAAGAUCGGCCCGCGUCUGAUUAGCUAGUUGGUGAGGUAAUGGCUCACCAAGGCGACGAUCAGUAGCUGGUCUGAGAGGAUGAUCAGCCACAUUGGGACUGAGACACGGCCCAAACUCCUACGGGAGGCAGCAGUGGG
rnacentral:rRNA from 1 species